UCGUGGGUUAAUGGAGUAUAAUACAAACACUUUCUACCCUACAAAACUCUACAUCAGGCAAGUUUCUAUUUUUCUUAAUUUCUUUUUACUGUCAGUAUCAAAAGUGAUGAUUUUCUUAUCAUCGUAUCGCCUCUCACAUUGUGAGGGUUCAUCAAAAGCAUGAAAAUGAUGUUGCUCCUGCCUUUACCACUGUACAACUCAAGUGUUACAUUUAAGUUGCCAACUCUAAAAAGCCAAAGCUAAGUGCAGAAGCAAGAAAUUUUUUGGUUGAUUCUUAUGUUGCUCUUCCUAGAGGAGAUACAACUCCAGGAAGUAGAGUUGCAUAUAGCAUGACAGUUAGACAGUUAGAGGCUCUAAUCAGACUUUUAGAGGCAAUUUCCAGGUGUCACCUCGAUGAUGAGGUUCACCCUCGCCAUGUUAAAUUAGCAACAAGACUUCUAAAAACUUCAGUAAUCAG